GUUUUGCUCUUGUUGCCCAGGCUGGAGGGCAAUGGUUCAAUCUCAGCUCACCGCAACCUCCACCUCCUGGGUUCAAGCGAUUCUCCUGCCUCAGCCUCCCAAGUAGCUGGGAUUACAGGCAUGCGCCACCCCGCCCGCCUAAUUUUUUGUGUGUGUUUUCAGUAGAGACGCGGUUUCUCCAUGUUGGUCAGGCUGGUCUGGAACUCACAACCUCAGGUGAUCCACCCGCCUUGGCCUCCAAAAGUGCUGGGAUUACAGGCGUGAGCCACCGCACCCGGCCUACUUAUUUCUUGAAUGAACAAUUCAGCAUUAAUUCUAUUCUGACUUAUUUUUCUAAAUAGUACUAAAAAAUCUUGUAUCUAUGAGUGAGUAGCUGAGAAUGGAAAGAAUUGUGUUAUAGUGUCACUCAUUUAUUUGAGUGCUUUCUGAGUUAUUUUUUAAAAAUCACAGAGCGCUGUCAUCAAACAUUGUAUUUAAUUCUCAAUCAGCGAAUGAUGUGCUCAGGUCCACCUUCUCUUUUGGUGAGAGGCAGGAGCUGGACGCCACCUGAUUUACAAAGGGUUUGCUCUCCCGUCCUUACAGACCAUUAGAUCCAGUGUUCAAAUCAUCCCUUUGUUUCAUAUCCCAGAGGUUUUUUUUUUUCCAAGACGUAGUCUCACUCUAUCACCCAGGCUGGAGUGCAGUGGUGCAAUCUCGGCUCACUGCAACCUCUGCCUCCCAGGUUCAAGUGAUUCUCCUGCCUCAGUCUCCUGAGUAGCUGGGAUUACAGGUGCCCACCACCACACCCGGCUAAUUUUUGUAUUUUUAGUAGAGAUAGGGUUUCACCAUGUUGACCAGGCUGGUCUUGAACUCCUGACCUCAAGUGAUCCACCUCCCUUGACCUCCCAAAGGGCUGGGAUUACAGCGUGAGCCACCACGCCCGGCCCGGCCAUCCCAGAGGUUUUUUUUACCUUAGGGUGAUGCACACUGAUAGGAUUUGGGGUGAGUUUCUAAUGUGCCCUUUGUGUGUUGGGAAGUUGGGAAGGGAGGAUCGUCUUGACACCUUGACCGCAGGCACAUGUCCAGGCAGCCCAGGUCUAGGAAGCAGCACUCGCGAUGGAUUCUCACCCAGCCUUCU
rnacentral:lncRNA from 1 species